UACGUAGGGGCAAGCGUUGUCCGGAAUUACUGGGCGUAAAGAGCGCGCAGGUGGUUGAUUAAGUCUGAUGUGAAAGCCCACGGCUUAACCGUGGAGGGUCAUUGGAAACUGGUCGACUUGAGUGUAGAAGAGGGAAGUGGAAUUCCAUGUGUAGCGGUGAAAUGCGUAGAGAUAUGGAGGAACACCAGUGGCGAAGGCGGCUUCCUGGUCUGUAACUGACACUGAGGCGCGAAAGCGUGGGGAGCAAACAGGAUUAGAUACCCUGGUA
rnacentral:rRNA from 1 species